AGUUUAUAUUGUUCAUAUUCUAUCAUAACCGUAGUUUUUUACAAAGAAGAAAAAUUACGUUAAAAUUUCAUAUUAUACCAUUAUAUUUAAUAACUAAAAGACUUAACUUACGAAUUAACGCCCUUUUAGAGUUUUAAGGGAACACCCAUCUCGUUAACACUCACAAGUCUUCUUAUUCUGCUUUCCUACAUUUCUUUCGGAGGAUCUAUGGUGCUACAUUCGCAUCAGGAUUGAAUAUAUUGAAAGCGCUUACAAGGUCUCCUAUUACAAUUCAGUUUACUUCUUGGACACUUUAUAGAAGAUAAAAUUAACCAAAUCAAAGAUACCGAGCAAACAGGAUGAUUUAACAAGGUAAUAGACGUUACACUUCUUUCAUUGAUGAUUUUGACUACCUUCUGUAGAACAUAAAUUUCAGUUAUUGGUUAGAUAUAAUUAUAUACUUCAAAGUACUAAAACGUGCAUUUUAACUCAUCUCUGUAAAUUGGUAAAAAAGGCGAA